AGAGUUUGAUCCUGGCUCAGGAUGAACGCUGGCGGCGUGCCUAACACAUGCAAGUCGAACGGAGUCGUUUUGGAAAUCUCUUCGGAGAUGGAAUUCUCGACUUAGUGGCGGACGGGUGAGUAACGCGUGAGCAAUCUGCCUUUAAGAGGGGGAUAACAGUCGGAAACGGCUGCUAAUACCGCAUAAAGCAUCAAAUUCGCAUGUUUUUGAUGCCAAAGGAGCAAUCCGCUUUUAGAUGAGCUCGCGUCUGAUUAGCUGGUUGGCGGGGUAACGGCCCACCAAGGCGACGAUCAGUAGCCGGACUGAGAGGUUGAACGGCCACAUUGGGACUGAGAUACGGCCCAGACUCCUACGGGAGGCAGCAGUGGGGAAUAUUGGGCAAUGGGCGCAAGCCUGACCCAGCAACGCCGCGUGAAGGAAGAAGGCUUUCGGGUUGUAAACUUCUUUUAAGAGGGAAGAGCAGAAGACGGUACCUCUAGAAUAAGCCACGGCUAACUACGUGCCAGCAGCCGCGGUAAUACGUAGGUGGCAAGCGUUAUCCGGAAUUAUUGGGCGUAAAGAGGGAGCAGGCGGCAGCAAGGGUCUGUGGUGAAAGCCUGAAGCUUAACUUCAGUAAGCCAUAGAAACCAGGCAGCUAGAGUGCAGGAGAGGAUCGUGGAAUUCCAUGUGUAGCGGUGAAAUGCGUAGAUAUAUGGAGGAACACCAGUGGCGAAGGCGACGAUCUGGCCUGCAACUGACGCUCAGUCCCGAAAGCGUGGGGAGCAAAUAGGAUUAGAUACCCUAGUAGUCCACGCCGUAAACGAUGAGUACUAAGUGUUGGAUGUCAAAGUUCAGUGCUGCAGUUAACGCAAUAAGUACUCCGCCUGAGUAGUACGUUCGCAAGAAUGAAACUCAAAGGAAUUGACGGGGGCCCGCACAAGCGGUGGAGCAUGUGGUUUAAUUCGAAGCAACGCGAAGAACCUUA
rnacentral:rRNA from 1 species